ensembl:lncRNA
AAUUCUCUCACAAAUAUGAUAUAAUUUCGUACCCCCAGCAGCCGCAUGAGAAGUUAUGGAAUGGGACAUUACCUGUCCCUUACUUACAGGAACCCUGAGGCCACAUAUUUUGUGCCUUGGGAGCGUGAAUGAAAUGUGGCCAGAUCUUGAAGUUAGAAUACAGGCUGCUGUACCAUUUGCCCCUCUUCUUGAUGGAGAGAAGACUAGUAUGGAUUCUCCUCUACCUCUGUUUUAACAUUCAGUGUCACGUGCUAGUAAAAUCAUGGAUUAGUUUGAGAAAAGUCUUUGGACUUAGAGAAAGAGUCUAUGUGUCAGUCAGAAAUCUUUGUAAUACAAGCAACCGAACUGUAGCACCUCAUGGUCUAAAGAUCAACAUGAGUUUAUCGACUCUUAUUGCUAAGAAGUCCAGAGAGGGCUGGCUUCAGGGCUCAAAUAAUGAAGUCAUGACCUGUCACUCCUCUCCUUGCUCUCUUGAUUGGUUCCAUUGUGAGAUAAGCCCUCUUUCUCACGUGCUUACUCAACUCAUGUUUACAAAAGACCCUUCCAUAUUUUAAAGAUGAAGUAACACACAGUGGAAAGGGUGCAGGUGUGGCAGUCGGGAAAUCUGGAUUCUAGUCACAAUUCUACCACUGGCUACAUGAGCUUCACCUGUCAGUGUUGCUGGAGAAGUAAAGAAAUUUGGCCACCAUCUCUAGUUCCCUCUCACUUCUCUGCCAUAUGUAGUGGGUGAACCACAAAUAUCAAACUGUUUUCCACAUGAAGAUGUAUCUGUCCGAGAGCUGAACAUGCACCUGGAGCCAGAGGACUCUAAAGAGCUGGUUUUGAAGAAGAAGCUUUGCCUCCUUUUCCCUGUCUACUUUUGGACCCAGGGCCACAGGCCCACUGAUCCUCUUAAUGGGCAGAGGAACCACCGGAAGGAAGCUGGCUUGGAGAAAACCAAGGCUCAAUGUCCUUUAAGCUGAGAAUGGACAAUUUGCUGCUCUAUCAACAAAGGAUGCCUCAGCUGUCUAGCCAUCAGCCAAUACUGUGGCCUGGUUGGUGAACCCUGAGGGACUCCAGUAUGGAGACCAGUGGGCGGACUAUUGCCAAGCCUUCAUCCACUGCAGACUCUCCCAGUGGUGUAUCCUGAGGGGAUUCAGGAUGAAAAAGAACAAGAUAUUGGCAUUGGAUAGCUAAGCUGCAUAGCAAAGGAAUAAUUUCAUUGAGCCCAGAUUCUUGCUUCUUCCACUACAAGAAAAAAGCUAAAUUCAUUCAUGUGAGAUGAUUGGUUUUCUCUAAUAGCAACCUUUGAUGUUCUGACUACCUGCUUUUGUUGCAAAAUUCUUGUAUAUCCUUCAGAACAGUACCUCAGAGCUAUCUGAGAGACUGUCUCCUGGGCUAGAGCCCCCAAAAGUCUGCUGAAUAAAAAAAUUCUCAACUUAAAUAAAUAAAUAAUAAGGAAAAAAAAAAACUGUGAAAAACCCAAUAUGUGGAGGCUAAACAAUACGCUAGCAAACAACCAAAGGAUCACUGAAGAAAUUCAAAAGAAAAAAACAAAACAAAACAAAACCUAGGGACAAAUGAAAACCAAAGCACAAUGGUCCAAAACCUAUGGGACUCAGCAGAAGCAGUUCUAACAGAGAAGUUUAUAGUGAUACAGUGUUAUCUCAAGGAAAAGAAAAAUCAAACAACCUAAUCUUACACCAAAACAACUAGAAAAA